UCUUUGAUGGUCUAACGGUCAUGAUUUCCGCUUGUCAUUCAGACAAGUUCGCGGGAGAUCGGGGUUCGACUCCCCGUCAGAGAG
rnacentral:tRNA from 1 species